GAAAAUGCAACCAGCUUACACUGAAAAGAGUGUUUUGCUUAAGACUGAAGAGUUCCUGCUUUCAACCUACCUUGUAAUUUUCAUCGUGUCUUUUCCUAGCAUUCAUAUCAACACCUUGGACUUUUAGCUUCCUACUACAUCUUUAAAAUUAUCACUUUAAAAUAUAAUGAAACACUCGAAUAACACACUGUCCCAUCUAUCACCUGUUGGGGCUGGGACGGAGCUCCUGGUGACUCUGAACUUGGAGGGCAGGCAGUAGCACCAUGCAACAGGCAGGAAUGUGCAUUCACUGUUUGAGAGGAAAAGUCUGAGUUUGGGGCAGAAAAGGUUGUCUGGGGAUGUCAACAUAUUAUUAUGAAAGUUGGACAUGCUGCAGUGAAGACUGCUUACAAUGUAAGGAAAUCUCGUUUUACAGACAGGAAACUCAUUCAUUCAUUCAUCAGCAAUAUGUCUUAGUGCCUAAUUUAGUUGCCGAGUUGUGUCUGACUCUUUGUGACUCCAUGGACUGUAGCCCGCCAGUCUCCUUUGCCCAUGGUAUAUCCCAGGCAAGAAUACUGGAGUGGGUUGCCAUUUCCUACUGCAGGGGAUCUUCCGAACCCAGGGAUUGAACCAAAUUCUCUCGUUUCUUGCAUUGGCGGGCAGGUUCUUUACCACUAGUACUAUCUGGGAAGCCCUAGAGAGAGUUGCCAGAUUUAACAAAUACAAAUAGAGAAUGCCCAGGUUACACUUGGAUUUCAGGCAUGUAAUGAAUUUUUAGUAUAUCUCAUGCAAUGUUCGGGACACACUUAUGCUAAACAAUGAUUGGCUGUUUCGUGAAAUGCCGGUGUUGCUGGAUAUCCUGCGUUUUCUCUGGCAGUGGGAGGCUAUGGGGCUGGAGCCGGGAGGUCAGACUGAGAAUGGGCAGUGGAUGUCCAUGGGGAGGCCUUACUGAUGAGCUGGAUCUGGGGAGUGAGACAAAGGAGUACAAGAUGACUUCUGGGUCUCCAACCCCAGCACCUGGGAGGCCCUAACCUGGGCUGGAGAAGAUGGGGCGGGAAGUGUGUGUGUUGUGAUACUGACGAGCCUUGUCUAAGGGCGUGUAAACAGGAAAACAUGGACAUUUCAUGAAUUGUCCCGCUUCUCUGUACAGGCCCACCCCUCCAACUGUCUCCCCUUCCUCCUCCCCCGACCCAUCUUGUGUUCUCUGCUCCAAAGGAAUAGAGAAAAGCAGUCCAGGACACAGGUGACUGGGACAAGCUAUUUUCUAAAUAAACAUUUAGAUCCCCUAGAGAAGGGAAUGGCAACCCACUCCAGUAUUCUUGCCUGGAGAAUCCAAAGGACGGAGGAGCCUGGUGGGCUAUAGUCCUUGGGGUCAUAAAGAGUCAGACAUGCCUGAGCAACUAAUACUUGCACACUUUCAAGCUGCUACUAAGGGAAAUGGUGGGAAAACAGAAAUGUGCUUCCUGGGAACUGGGCUACAGACUAUUUCUAUUAAUAGUUCCUUGUGUAACAUUUCUGUGCGCCUCUUUUGCAAUGUCUUUAAGGAUCCAUCGAUAGGCAUAAUGAAACAGGACAAAUAGGACAGUUUUUGCAAUGAAGUGGUUAUGUGGACAACCGAGGACAGGCAAAAUUAACUGGGUGCAGAAGUGUCUUAGUCACAGCUUUUAUAAAAUCCAACAUUACAAUUAUACCAAACAUUACAACUGUAAUGUCUAACAUUACAAUUGGGCUUCCCAGGUGGCUCAGUGGUAAAGAAUCCACCUGUCAAUGCAGGAGACGUGGGUUUGAUUCCUGGGUUGGGAGGGUCCCUUGGAGGAAGAAAUGUCAAUCUACUCCAGCAUUCUUGCCGGGACAGUGGAGCCUGGUGGGCUACAGUCCAUGGGGUCACAAGAGUCAGACUCGACUUGACAACCAAACAAACAUUACAACUAACUGCAUGGCUACACUGAAGUAUUUUCUGAAAUUUUAGCCCAAAUAAGAAUUUUAGCCUUCUCAUUUCUAUUUUUAUGAAGAAAAAACAAGUGUGUACAAGCACUGUUGUGACAUUGCAUUUCCUGAUUAAAAAGAUACAUUUUUUUAAAAAUUGGACUACAAAUAUUAAGAUUUAUUUUAAAAUGGUCCUUGUAAAAAGUUCAUUCUCCUUGACUUUAUUUUUCUAUAGGGUGAAGCCACUUGAUUAAAUAAAUAUUUUGAUUACAGAGGGUUUGGAUGUAAAAUGGCCCCAGAGAAUGUUUUGGAAAAGUGAAAACUGGACAUAUGCCACGACUCUGUCUUUUUCUCCACCCCUUCUACUUAAAUCUUUUAGUAAAACAAUUUUACCAGAAAUUCCGUACGGCCAGUCAAUAAGGCUUAUUGCUGUUGUUCCAUUUCCAAAGUUGCUCGGCUUCCACUGGGGGACAGAAUGUCCCCUAAGUCAAACCUGGAGAAUCACCUGUAAUGUUUGUUAUGAAUGCUCACUUGCUUCACAUAGAUUUGAAUUCAGUGGUCUGCCUAGGGCAGGGUCCAGGAAUUUGUAUUUUUAACAAAUACGCCAGCCAUUUUCGUGGGCUGGCAAAUCUGGAAAACACUGGCUUGAGUGAAAUAAUUAUUAGUCAUUGAGGACUUCCCUGGUGACUCAGUGGUAAAGAAUCCACCUGUCAAUGCAGGAGACAAGAGUUCCAUCCUUGGUCCGGGAAGAUCCCACAUGCUUCUGGCUAACCUAACCCGAGCACAGCUAACUACUGAGCCCACACCUAGAGCCUGUGCUCCUCAACAAGGAAAGCCACCACGAUGAGAAGCCCAGGCACCUUUACAAAGAAUCGCCCCUGCUCGCCGCAGCUAGAGAAAGCCCUCACGCAGCAGCAGAGACCCAGCACAGUUAAUAAAUAAAUAAAUAAUUUUUAAAAUAAAAUACAAUCGUUGAAUUCCAACUGUCUUGAAGAUGUGAGUGAAAGAGCCUUUUGAGAGAUUGGAGGAGAAAUAAUGGCACAUAAGUGGUCUCAUUAGUUACACAGUUCAUCAGAGUUUGUUGAAUGUCUGCCGAUGGGCUUGAAAGCAUCCUGGGCACUGACGGUGCUGUGUGGACGAGACAUGAGCCAGGAGGGACGGUCAGUUCUGCCUGGUAGCUCCGGACAGCUUUGCACGCAGGACGAGGCAUUUGAAAUGGUUCAUUUGAAACCAGAAGGAGGAGGUGUGAUGGUUAGAGGAGAAUGGGGCCCUCAGGUGUGGGGUUCCCAUGGAGCUGGUCCUUAGGGUGGGUGGGGUGAGGUGAGCAGCUUGUGGAACCAGGAAUGUAGGCUGCUGUGAAGGAAGAGUCUUGCCAAGCUCUAUCGUGUGAGGAACGAGGAAACGGCAGAGAGCUGCAGUUGUUUUUGGAAAGAGACCUGGAAGAGCGCCGUGCAGCAUGGCGGAUGGGCUGUGGGUUGGGGUAGAGGGGAAACGAGAGGGCUGAAAGCCAGGGUGGAGAGUUUCAAACUCAGCUCUGGUGGGAGUGUGAGGCACAGAGAGCACAGUGAGCCCCCGGGAGGCCAGCCCUCUGCUCCCUAGAAGCAUCUGAAGUAUUAACAUGAAACCUGCUGGGAUGAUCCCAUACCUCAGGGAGCGAAUAUUCCCUUCAAGUCAGAGUAGAGAAGAAAAAGCCAGAAUGUUCCAGUCUCCACGUGUGAGAGGCUUUGGUCCCUUGGGUCUCAGGGCGGUAGGGGCCCUGCAGGUGGGUUGGCACAACCAGCAGCCUUGAUUUGGGCGCUGCUUGGACCAGCUGAGGCGUCCAGGCACCAGCCCAAGCCCUGGGGUGUCUUCCAGAUUCUGCAGGGAGCCCACACAUCUGCGUCUCCGUGUGAGCUGUGUUCCUCGUCCCUCCGCUGCACCCGCCCCACUCUCCCUUCCAGACGUGAGAAAACACCAUCUCAGAACAAAAGCCAGUAGAUUCACCUACUUGGUGAAGGGAGAAAGACCAAGGAAAAUGCUAGGGUGUUUUUUUCACUCCCCGACCUUGUUCAUUGUGUUUGUAACGUGGGAACCCAGUUUGAAAGAAAGGUGGAGGAGGUGAGCAAUGACAGUGGGUUGGUGUCGGGGGGUCCUGGGCUGCCAGCCUAGGGAGGGGCUUCAACCCUCUGUUGCCCGAGGUUUCCCCUGCUUGGAAUUAGGAGGAGUGAAUGACAUCCACGUAGAGGGGGAGUUCAGAUGGGUGUGUGUGUGCGCUCAGUCAGUAAGUUGUGCCCUACUCUUUGCACCUCCAUGGACUAUAGCCCCCCUGCCAGGCUCCUCUGUCCGUGGGAUUUCCCAGGCAAGAAUACUGGAGUGGGUUUCCAUUCCCUUCUCCAGAGGAUUUUCCCAAACCAAGGAUUGAACCUGUGUCUCCUGCACUGGCAGGUGGAUUCUUUACCACUGUGCCACCUGGGAAGCCAGAUGGGUUUGUUAAUUAAAUGUAAAAGAUCCAUUCUAUAAUAACACACAUUAACGCGGGGUUGAUGACUGAGGCUGUGCUUCGUCUUGAAGCCUCAUCUGUUAUCUGCUCUUCCUUUUGAAAGUUGUCUUCUCAUUUCAGUUUCCAUUGCACUGCAUUGCAGUGGUCCAAGAUCUCUAAAUUCUCUGAAUUUUAGAACUGGUUGCUGCCUGCUUUCCACUGUAGCCCUUACUGUCCUUUGCCCCAUCUUCACGAUUUUGUUUUGCAGUUCUGGACAUGGGCUAGGUAGAAACGCCAACCCCCUGCCCUCUACCCCCAGAGAAACAGCCCCUCUCGGGGUGGAACCAGCAGUCUGGAUCUGAGAGAACCUCCAGCGAUCCUUAACACCUGUGGUAAGGUCCAGAACCACUGAUUGACUAGCGCAGCCUCCCUGUUUUACUGACAAGACAGUGAUGCCCCAAUUCCAGCUGGGAAGCGGUGUUUGUAACCCAUUUCCCAGGAGAUGCUGAAGUUGCUGGUCUAGAUGACUUAAGUCUCCCCAGCUCAGAAAUGUUGACUCUGUUGUCUGUAAAGUGUCGGGGGUUAGGGGGUCGGGGGAUUUGUUACGUUUCUUAAAUAGAUGUUUCUAUCUGCCAGUUUCUGCCCUCAGAGGUAUAUUCUGUAAUCAUUCCUUCCUUCUCCUGCCCUCUGCCAAGCUCACCCCUUGUGGUCCUGUUUCCCUUUUCCAACAGCUCACCCCACCUGCUAAGAAACCCUCUACCUGUCAGCAUCCAACAGCCAGUCUUACCCAUGCACAGAGGGCAGCCGUUCUGGGUGGGUGAUGGGGCACAGUGGUCCUCAGUUGCACAGCAUGCUCCCACGUGUGGACUCUCGGGGUUUUGGGGGCAAGUGGUGCUGACCUGAGCGCAAGCAAGUCAACUAGGGCUCCGAGGCUUACUAUCUCUGUCACCUUGGAGGAGUUACUUUACCUGCCAAAGCCUCAAAUUUCUCAUCUGUUAAAUGGAGAUAAUAUUAUAGUAUCUGAAAGACUGUUCUAAGGUUCGAAUGAAAUAAUCCAUGUAAAGAACUUGACACAGUACCAAGUACACAGUAAGAGUUCCAUAGAUAUUAGCUUUGAAACCAGUAAAUUGGAACUGAUGAGGUUGUGUUUCCCAUGAUAUGCUGUUUUCUCACUUAAAAAUAUAGUGCUUUUCACUCUACUCAGGGUUGUGUGGCAGCCUGGAUGAGACAGGGGUUCAGGUGAGUUCAGAUGGUUCAGGGAAGAAUGUGAAAGUCACUCAGUCAUGUCCGACUCUUUGCAACCCAUGGACUGUGCAGUCCAUGGAAUUCUCAGGCCAGAAUACUGGAGUUGGUAGCCUUUCCCUUCUCUAGGGGAUCUUCCCAACUCAGGAAUCGAAUCCAGGUCUCCCACAUUGUGGGCCACCAGGGAAGCGCAGGGAAGAAUGGACACAGGUAUAUAUAUGACUACGUCCCUUCACUGUUCACCUGAAACUGUCACAACACUAUUAAUCAGCUCUUUGUUCUUUAGUCACUAAGUCGUGUCCGACUCUUUGUGACCCCAUGGACUGUAGCACACCAGGCUUCCCUCUCCUUCACUACCUCCCAGAGUUUGCUCAAACUCACGUCCAUUGAAUCAGUAAUGCCAUCCAACCAUCCUGUCCCCUGUAGUCCCUUUCUCCUCCUGCCUUCAAUCUUUCCCAGCAUUUGUGUCUUUUCCAGUGAGUCAGCUCUUCACAUCAGAUGGCCAAAGUAUUGGAGCUUUAGCUUCAGCAUCAGUCCUGCCAAUGAAUAUUCAGGGCUAUACUCCAAUAUAAAACAAAAAGUUAAAAAAUAAAAAUAGUACUUUUCAGGGUAAAUUUUGUGCUUCUCCUGGACUUUGUCAGAUUACUAGGGGUGAUUUUGAAAGGUUUAUGCCUUAUUUCCAGACCUGAUGCCACUCUGGGAGGGUGUGUGUGCAAGGUACAGAUCCCAGAGCAGUGGAGAUGGUUCCAUUGGAACAGGGGUUCUAGGUGGGUGUCCUACCUUUGAUGCUGACUUCUGACUCCUUCAGAUGUGAAGGAAGGUGUAAACCCCUCAUCAUGUCCUGCAUGUCACGAUGCCCCACCCCUGAGGGACAAGCACACACUGACCUAGAGAUGUGGGGAUGGCAACACUGUGUGUAUGUGUGUGGACAUGCCGUGCUUAGUCACUCAGUUAUGUCUGACUCUCUCUGACCCCAUGGACUGUAGCCCCCCAGGAUCCUCUGUCCAUGGGGAUUCUCCCCAACCCAGGGAUCCAACUUAGGUUUCGUGCAUUGCAGACAGAUUCUUUACUGUCUGAGCCCCCAAGGGAAGUCUGUGUGUAUGUGUGUGUGUGUGUGUGUGUGUGUGUGUGUACACAGACAGAAAAAUAAAAGACCAGGUUUCUGUUCAUUUGGAAUGAUGACAGGCUUCCCAGAUGACUUUCCCAGUGGUAAAGAACCUGCCUGUCAAUGCAGGAAAACAGGUUUGAUCCCUGGGUGGGAAAGAUCCCCUGGAGGACGAAAUGACAUCCCACUCCAGUAUUCUU
ensembl:lncRNA